UUUACUGGACCAUUUUUAAAUUUAAAUAUUCAUGAAAUCAAUGUAAAUAAUUUUAAAUUGAACUAGAUAUAAACAUACAAAAAUUUUAACAUUUUGUGAUAAAAUAUUUUAUGGCGGUAUGAUACGGGUUAAAACUAAUACUCAAAUCUGCCUAAGAAAUGAUGUAAAAGACAAAAAAUAAAUAAAAAAUAAUACAUCAUCGAGCUCUAUAUACUCACUUAAUUUUCUACCUCUAAAUUAAUCAUUCAAAAUAUUUGAUAAGGCUAGAAACCAAAUCUCCUGCUUUCGCAAACUUUUACACGUG
rnacentral:lncRNA from 1 species